AGAACUAUGAAUUACCCGA
rnacentral:snRNA from 1 species